rnacentral:rRNA from 1 species
UAACCUGCCUUAUAGUGGGGGAUAGCCUUUCGAAAGGAAGAUUAAUACCGCAUAAGAUUGUAGUAUCGCAUGAUAUAGCAAUUAAAGGAGCAAUUCGCUAUAAGAUGGACCCGCGUCGCAUUAGCUAGUUGGUGAGGUAAUGGCUCACCAAGGCGACGAUGCGUAGCCGACCUGAGAGGGUGAUCGGCCACAUUGGACUGAGACACGGCCCAGACUCCUAACGGGAGCAGCAUG